CCUGCCAAGUUCACAACAGCAGUAGAGCCUUGUACACAGUUCUUCCACUCCGAUUCUUCUGCAAUCACAAUACCUGGG
rnacentral:sRNA from 1 species